CAUUAAAUAGCUUAAAAUUUAAAGUAUUAAAUUUUUAAUUUAAUUAUAAUAAUAAUAUUAUUUUUGAUGA
rnacentral:tRNA from 1 species